ensembl:lncRNA
GGGUGUUUCCAAUCCAUCCUUCACUCUGCUGGUUACUCUUAGGCUUUUACUAGUCACUUUCGAGAACGGGCUCUCCCCUCUGUUGCACACUUUUCCAGGUUUGUCAUAGCUUUUCUUUCCAGAAGCAAGCAUCUUUUAAUUUUGUGGCUGCCGUCACCAUCCGCAGUGAUUUUGGAGCCCAAGGUGGACUCUUCACCAUCUGAGCCACCAGGGAAGCCCAAGAAUACUGGAGAGGGUAGCCUAUCCCUUCUCCAGGGGAUCUUUCUGGCCCAGGAAUCAAACCAGGGUCUUCUGCAUUGCAGGUGGAUUCUUUACCAACUGAGCUACCAGCGAAGCCCUGGAAAGCUCAACUAAGUUGUCAAAUACCAUCAAGGAUCCAGGUCCCACCACCCUGCUGUAUUGCCAUCCUCAGAGGACUGGGUGUCCUCAGCACAUCCCUUCCCUGUUCCAAGGAGGCUGUGGCUUCAAGCUUCUCAUCUCCAGAGGAUACGGUUCAACAGAGCCAGGAAAGAGGCAGGAGUGAAACAA